UCCAGACUCCUACGGGAGGCAGCAGUGGGGGAUAUUGCACAAUGGGGGGAACCCUGAUGCAGCGACGCCGCGUGGGUGAAGGAGCGUUUCGGCGCGUAAAGCCCUAUCGGCAGGGAAGAAGGAGGACGGUACCUGACUAAGAAGCCCCGGCUAACUACGUGCCAGCAGCCGCGGUAAUACGUAGGGGGCAAGCGUUAUCCGGAUUUACUGGGUGUAAAGGGGGCGCAGACGGCAGCGCAAGCCAGGAGUGAAAGCCCGGGGCCCAACCCCGGGACUGCUCUUGGAACUGCGUGGCUGGAGUGCAGGAGGGGCAGGCGGAAUUCCUGGUGUAGCGGUGAAAUGCGUAGAUAUCGGGAGGAACACCGGUGGCGAAGGCGGCCUGCUGGACUGCAACUGACGUUGAGGCCCGAAAGCGUGGGGAGCAAACAGGAUUAGAUACCCGCGUAC
rnacentral:rRNA from 1 species